rnacentral:rRNA from 1 species
GUGAACGCUGGCGGUAGGCCUAACACAUGCAAGUCGAACGGCAGCACAGUAAGAGCUUGCUCUUACGGGUGGCGAGUGGCGGACGGGUGAGGAAUACAUCAGAAUCUACUUUUUCGUGGGGGAUAACGUAGGGAAACUUACGCUAAUACCGCAUACGACCUACGGGUGAAAGCAGGGGAUCUUCGGACCUUGCGCGAUUGAAUGAGCCGAUGUCGGAUUAGCUAGUUGGCGGGGUAAAGGCCCACCAAGGCGACGAUCCGUAGCUGGUCUGAGAGGAUGAUCAGCCACACUGGAACUGAGACACGGUCCAGACUCCUACGGGAGGCAGCAGUGGGGAAUAUUGGACAAUGGGCGCAAGCCUGAUCCAGCCAUACCGCGUGGGUGAAGAAGGCCUUCGGGUUGUAAAGCCCUUUUGUUGGGAAAGAAAAGCAGCAGGUUAAUACCCCGCUGUUCUGACGGUACCCAAAGAAUAAGCACCGGCUAACUUCGUG